CUACAAGUGACUUGUCCUUAAGUGGGGGUAAAUUACACUUGAAAAAAAAUGAAUCUAGAUAGCUUUCCUUCAAGUCAAGCAUUAUGU
rnacentral:pre_miRNA from 1 species